GCCCUCCUCCACACUCGACGGAUCGAGAGAGGAAAAGGACUCCGCUACCCCCCCCGCAGGGGAAGGCGCGAAACGUGGGGGCUGGCCGGGGGGCAGGAAAGAGGACGAAGUGUCCGUCACCAAAGGAGUCACUGGACUUUCCGAUGACUUCUUGGCCGGCCUAAGUCUCUUCCUGCCCUCGUACAGCACCCACUGCGCCUCGGACCAAUUAACACAUAUGACACAAGGUUCGUUGCGGGAGCACUCUCGCCCCCGGCAACGAGUACAAACCUCAUGGGGGUCCACGUCAACGAAUGACCUGAACCCUCCACAUCUACGCCCCUCCAGCCCGGGACACACUCUACGGGCGACUGGAGGGCGCGGUGAAAUCUCCAUUUCUUCCAAUUCACUCAUUGCAAGAUCAAUAGAAUUGUAAAAGUACUUACAGUCACUCCUGAUUUAUACAGAAAGAGAGGUAAAUACUCAAAGUCAAAGCAAACGACAAAGCGGGCAGAGCGAUGGCGAACACGUCCUUCCCACAUACGGCCGAAAGCAAAAGUGAUUUGUUUACCUCCCAGUCGCGCGGCGCGCGACGAUCGGACAAGCAGUUAACUACCGUUCUCCCCUUGUUCGAAGCUUACGACCGUUCCAGCUGCCGCUAGCUACUUCCUAUUGUUAAAGGACCGAGGGUUUGUAUUACGUAUCGGAACAAAUGAAGUUCCAGUUCUGUAGUAUUAAGGAAAUAAAGUAGGUUAAAGAAAAGUCGAGUCACAUUGGAUAACCUCCAAAUCUUUUCCCGUCAUUCUAUCCCAAUUGUGUAAAUUUCAACAGCUCUUACAAUCUGAUCUCUGAAGCACAUUCCCAGAUUCAGGAUAACUCUUUCAAUCUUCGCAUCUUAUCUUUUGAAAGAAGUGGAAACAGUAUUGGAAAACUGCAGUACCCUCGGUCCUUUGGCAGCUGCUGGCAUGGUAUUGGAGGAAGAAGCAUAAGAGACUGUCAUUUCCGUCUCUUGGCCUUGUUGUAAGGAAGUCGAGUUUUUGAGGAUCGUGGGAGGAACAUUGUUGGAUGGGCAGUGGUUGUGGUUUUAUUGCAUCAAAAUUGGUGACACGUUGUGAUGGUAAUUGCUUCAUAGCAAAGAAAGAUAAAGGAAAGGAGAACGCAUUUUCGAGAAGUUCGGCAGCAAGGAGGCUUUCGCGCCCGUGUUGGAGGCGCCUGUUCUCGCGGCUGUUCUGGAAUCGUCGGGCGUGUUGUGGAGUGCAACACACGCCUAAGUGGCUGGAGAAAUGCAGUAAGAGAGAUCGUAGAAGAGAGACACCAGUUAGUCACAGAGAUAUAUCCUCAGUACGAGCCACUGGUCAGAAUAUCAGGAGAAAUCAGCAGCAGCAGAGAUUAUCCGUGAGAGAUAAGAGAGAAAGGGACCGACAAAGGAUCAAAAGUAGAGUUGUUCGAGAGUUCGAGAGUUGAUUGGAUACUGGUCUAAUCGUCUUCAGGAGUGGACGACCGAGUUGUCUCUACGUUGAGCAGACUUCGGAGAAGAAAAGGGGGGAGUUCCUGCCUUACAAGUAGACUAUUUUCUGCAAUACGGAGUCAAGAGGACGUCUGCAAUUGCCGCUCUCCUUUUGUGAAGCCACCGCUGCGAUUCACUAAACCGUCCCGCAAGUAUUUGAAUUACCUCACUGUUCCCCCAGUUCAUGCAGUGUAAGAUUCUAUCUUUUUAUGUAAAUAAGAGAUACCAUUCUGCAUUUACCUAUGUUAGUAAGCUUGUAAAUAAACCUUUGUUGUGUUAGUGUUUCUUUCUAUAUUCGUAUCCCCAGUUUCAACUGUUGGUGUUGAAAUUUUUUUUUAUUUAUUUCAUAUCAAACCUGAAGCGGACCUCUCUCAGAGGCCGUAACAUUGUGUCGACCCUUGCCAGGAUAUUUUGACACCGUAACAUUGUGGCGACCUUGCCAGGAUAUUUCGACACCGUAACAUUGUGGCGACCUUGCCUAAGCUACCAACACUUUAACAGUUUGAAACAGGAAGGAUAUAGAAAGAAUCAGAAUGAGUGAGAUGGUGAAAGAGUUUAUCGAGUCUGGUAAGCUACUAGGUCUACAGGGGAACGAUCUCCGUGAGUAUGUUGAAAAGAAAGAAAGAGAAAAGUAUGAGAGAGAUGAAAGAGCGGCUGAGAGAGAGGAAAGAGCAGCUGAGAGGGAAGUGCAGCAAGCGAGAGAAGCAAUGAAAAUGCAGCAAGAGAGAGAAAUGUUGGUAAUGAAGCAGGAAGAAAGAGAAAAAGUACGUAUGCAUGAGCAGGAAGAAAGAGAUAAAGUACGUAUACAUGAUCAGGAGGAGAGAGAGAAAGAGCGUAUGCAUGAGUUAGAAAUUGCUCGGUUAAGAAAAAGUACUCGUAACAGUCGGUCAGACGAGAACGAAAAUGGAGCUGAUACGUAAGGUAUGAGUGCAGUGCUAAAAUUAGUACCAAAGUUUGAUGAGGAGGAUGUUACGACAUAUUUCAUGUGUUUUGAGAAGUUAAUGGAACGAGUAGGUUCUCCUAAAGAAACGUGGACUUUAUAUUUGCAGUCAGUUUUGAGUGGUAGGGCGCUUACUGUGUAUAGUUGCAUGUCUAAGGAGGAAUGUGAUAAUUACGAUAUCGUGAAAGAAACUGUUCUUACCGCGUACAGGUUAGUACCGGAGGCGUACCGUAAGAAAUUUAGAAAUUUGAGAAAGGAUGAAAAUAUUGCGUAUGUAGAAUACGGUAAGAAGUUAGAUAGGCUGUUUUUUUAUUGGUUAACUUCUGCUAAAGUUGAGGAUUUUGAUAGUUUGAAGAACUUAGUGUUGUUAGAACACUUCAAAGAUAACGUAUCCCCUGAGAUUUAAGCUUUAUAUAGAGGAUAGGCGAGAAGUAUCUUUUGCAGGAGCAACUAGGCUAGCUGACGAAUAUAGUCUAACUCAUAAUUUGAGUGUUAGUAAGAAACGAAAUGAUCCUUUGUCUGGUAGAGUACAAAGCAGCAAAGGUUUCAGUCCUAGUAAUAGCAAUGCGAGUAAAAGUGACUAUUCCUGUUAUACAUGCGGAAAACCUGGUCAUACGUCUAAGGUUUGUAAGAGUAAAGUGGCAUCUAGUGGCUCAGAAUUAACUUGUUUCCGAUGUAAUGGAAAAGGGCAUUUAGCGAGAAAUUGUGCAGUAGAAAGGAAGGACGGUAAGAAACCAGUAUCUCUAGUUAACCUUUCGUCAAGUAGGAAUGAUGUGAUGAGAGAAACUAGGAGUUUUUGGUGAAUUUCUGUCGGAAGGCAUAGUUUCCUCUCUUGGAGGAGUACAUUCGAGAGAAGUAGUCUUGCUUCGAGACACAGGCGCUGCCGUCUCACUAAUUAGGGAAGAGAGUGUGCCGAAAAGGGAGAAAUCAAUAUGGAAGAGAAAGUCAUGUUAGGUGGAUUUCCUAACACUUGUGUUCUUUGUCCUUUGUUGAAGUUGAAUUUAGAAAGUCAGGUAGUGUCAGGAGAAGUAAAACUUGCAGUUGUAGACAGUUUGCCUGUCGAAGGCGUUGACAUUAUUGUCGGUAAUGACUUAGCUUUAUCCAAGAAUGUGAAUCCUGUUGUGAGGAAUAUUCCAGUGCCUGAAAUGGUAGUAACUAGGUCGGGUUUAGAUACAGACAUAGACUACGAUGUGUGGCUGAGAGACCUAACUCUAUCGUUGACAGUGAUAGCCAAAGGGAAGGCGUAGCUGUCGAGAAUAACGUUGUAAAUGUACCUGUAUCUAGUCCUAGUUACAGUGAUGAAUUAGGCCGUAACAUUUUGGAUAAGGAUGAGCUAGUCAAGUUGCAGAGAGAGGAUGAGAAACUAACCCGAAUUUUUUAAUGUGAGCUGGAUGAUGAUCUCGAUGAUGUGAGUAAGGAAACUUUUUGUGUAAAGGAUGAAGAUUUGUGUCAUGUUUGUCCUAAGUCAGGUAGUGAAGGGGGAAUCACAGAAAAAUUAGUAGUUCUUAGGAAGUUUUGUGAGCUCGUUUUGAAGUUAGCACACGAUGAGCAAGGACAUUUAGGAGUAAAUAAAACUUUCAAGUGUAUUAGUAGGGCGUACUUUUGGCCUAAAAUGAAAAAUGAUGUAAAGAGGUAUGUUUUAAGCAGUCUUGAAUAUCAAAUUGCCGGGAAACCGAUUCAAGUAAUUCCUAGAGUUCAGUUGUGUAAUAUUCCUUCAGUAGGCGAAUCUUUAGAGAAUGAAUUUAUAAAUAUGUUCGUACCUUUGCCUAGAACUAAGGGUAGAGAUGUUUGGCAGCUAGAGGAGGAGAAUGGAAGUGUUGGCACUUAGCGAAAGAAAACACAAGAGGAAGUCAAGGGGAAACUGAAGGAAGACAUGAUCUUAGAGCAAACAAGAGAAGUUUGUGUGUAAGAGAUAAAGUUUUAGUACUAGUCCAGAAAGAAGGUUCCUCUUUAUCUCAAUUUCGAAGGUCCUUUUUCAGUUUUAGAGAAGAGGGGAAAUAUACAUUAUAGAAUUAAUGUGGGUAAGAGUAAAGGCAAUGAAUGUAAAUUUGCUUCAGAAUUAUAAACAACGCCCCGUGCUGUGGCCUCCGCCCUUGUAACAGUGUUACGGAGUGAGAUUAGUUUUGAGAAAAACACAAGAGGUGUUUUAGUAUUUAUAAGUCUUAAUCAGAGUUCAGAAAAUGGAAAUAGUAAGAGAGAAGGAUAAUGUUAUAGCAGAUAGCCUCUCUAGUUUUUUCAGAAUGAGUAGCCUAAUGACUGUUUUCUGUUUUGGCACGAGUGGUUGAGUGGAUGAAAAAGUAUUAAAGCUUUAUGCAGAAUUGUUUCCCCGCUGUUUAAUCCUUGCUUCUCUUUAGAAAAAAAAAUAAAAUCAGAUUUCAUUUUUUUUCUCUUUUGGGGGGGCGUGUGAUGGUAAUUGCUUCAUAGCAAAGAAAGAUAAUGGAAAGGAGAGCGCAUUUUCGAGAAGUUCGGCAGCAAGGAGGCUUUCGCGCACGUGUUGGAGGCGCCUGUUCUCGUGGCUGUUCUGGAAUCGUCGGGCGUGUUGUGGAGUGCAACACACGCCUAAGUGGCGGGAGAAAUGCUGCGAUUUCUGAUGCAAUACCUCGUCUAGAUUCAUCUAAUAACUUCCGGAAACCUCGCGAGCCUGUGACGCUCGCCGUAGGCUCUGCCCCCAGAGUGCCGUCCGUAUAAAUACGACGGUUGUAGCAGCAGCAAGAGAGAUCAUAAAAGAGAGACACCAGUUAGUCACAGAGAUAUCCUCAGUACGAGCCACUGGUCAGAAUAUCAGUGAGAAAGCAGCAGCAGCAGAGAUUAUCCGUGAGAGAUAAGAGAGAAAGGGACCGACAAAGGAUCAAAAGUAGAGUUGUUCGAGAGUUGGUUGGAUACUGGUCUAAUCGUCUUCAGGAGUGGACGACCGAGUUGUCUCUACGUUGAGCAGACUUCGGAGAAGAAAAGGGGGGAGUUCCUGCCUUACAAGUAGACUAUUUUCUGCAAUACGUAGUCAAGAGGACGUCUGCAGUUGCCGCUCUCAUUUUGUGAAGCCACCGCUGCGAUUCACUAAAUUGUCCCGCAAGUAUUUAAAUUACCUCACUGUUCCCCCAGUUCAUGCAGUGUAAGAUUCUAUCUUUUUAUGUAAAUAGGAGAUACCAUUCUGCAUUUACCUAUGCGGUGUUAGUGUUUCUUUCUAUAUUCGUAUCCCCAGUUUCAACUGUUGGUGUUGAAUUUUAUUUUUUAUUUAUUUCAUAUCGAACCUGAAGCGAACCUCUCUCAGAGGCCGUAACAUUGUGUCAACCCUUGCCAGGAUAUUUCGACACCGUAACACACGUGUUGUCUGGUUUGUUGUUGUGGUACUCUGUAGACAGGGGAUUUUGGCAGAGAAGGAAGCUAAUUGGCAAGGGACCUCUGGUAGUGGUUUCCACUCGCUCUUUUACUAUACCAACACCUGUAUUAAAAGGUGAGCGCGCCAGUUAUUCUGGCACUAUUGUUUCUCUGGUAUAUAUAUCAAUAUUUAUGCCUUAGAAAUGAGGAUCAAGGAUGCAUUUCACUGGGUGACACAGGUCAUUGCCCAGAAAUAGAUUUUUCCUCCGUCAAAAUCCCGUUUUUAUAAGCAACCAAGGGAAAGGGGUGCCCUGACAUGGUGUAACAACGUAUAUUAAGCAAAGAAAUUUGUUCCAUACCAACUUGAACACCUGAGGAAAUAUCUGGUUUAAAAAAAAAUUUUUAAAUAAUCCAACAGUAAGCCUAACCCAAUAGUUUUUAUUGCAGAAAGGGUUUGGACAGCCCUUCCUCUCUCCGGAAGUCUCAAGGCUAUGGUUAUUAUUCAUGACACUGGUUCCUUUGUGCCAAACGGCUACAGUUUGUCCUCAGAUAUUUGAAAACUUUUAGUGGUCUCUGUAUAAAAAUAAAACUUUUUAUCAUUUUAAGGUUUAACUACUAAUCUCAGCCAGCUGGAAGGAAUUGCCCUGGUAGAUCGAUCUUGCACACCUGAAAUCGUCUCCCAUUUCCCAGCAACCAACCUGACAGAGGGCAUCCAUGAUAGGUUUAAUUUCUUGUUUGAAACAAAGGACAAGUGGACACUUAAUGAGAUAAGGCCUUACAUUGAAGACUUGGCCACAAAUGCCACCCCUGUUAGUGCUCUCCUUACCAAGUACGCCAGAGCAUCAACAAAGGACGGCAUAAAGUACUACACGGGGAGACACAUGAAGUGAUCGUUAAUCAUUGUAUUGUUCAAGGUACGAAAUUAUCGUUAAUUACUUUGCAGUACCAAUUACUUCAUUUGAACUGGGUAGGACAAUAAAUUCAAGUACAAA